rnacentral:rRNA from 1 species
AGGACGAACGCUGGCGGCGUGCCUAAUACAUGCAAGUCGAACGGUCUUUUCUAUGGAAGCUUGCUUCCACUGAGAAGAUAGUGGCGAACGGGUGAGUAACACGUGGGUAACCUGCCCAUAAGAGGGGGAUAACAUCCGGAAACGGGUGCUAAUACCGCAUAGUUUUCUUGAUCGCAUGAUUGAGAAAGGAAAGACGGCCUUUGUGCUGUCGCUUAUGGAUGGACCCGCGGCGUAUUAGUUAGUUGGUGAGGUAACGGCUCACCAAGACGAUGAUACGUAGCCGACCUGAGAGGGUGAUCGGCCACAUUGGGACUGAGACACGGCCCAAACUCCUACGGGAGGCAGCAGUAGGGAAUCUUCCGCAAUGGACGAAAGUCUGACGGAGCAACGCCGCGUGAGUGAAGAAGGUUUUCGGAUCGUAAAACUCUGUCUUCAGGGACGAUAAUGACGGUACCUGAGGAGGAAGCCACGGCUAACUACGUGCCAGCCGCAGC